CAAUGAAGGAACUAUGGUAACAUGCACAGAAAUUGAAUUAGGUCUCUUAGCCUGCCCUUUCUGAUGCCAUUUGACUUUGAUUUGAGGGCAUGGUUCUGCAGCAAAACA